rnacentral:snoRNA from 1 species
GCCCUCUCAGGGUUGCACCUGGAGAGUUUCCAGUACUCUACCAGUCUCGACUACAGGAGGGAGAGCCAAGCAGAGGCCUACACAUUCCGUUCCUAGCUUGGGCAAUGGCUAGCGAGUGGAAGGCAAUCUGCUGUAAGU